UUUGGUUGUGAUGGUAAGACAUGGAUGAGAUUUUCAGACUUUGCAACAGUGAAGACGAGACGCUAAGCGAGACACGCCACACCUUUUUGACAACUUUACUUGGGUUACUUAUAAGCGUCCGGAUACUUUCUUAACGAUUCGCCGUUACGUGGAAUAACUCUGCAGGUUUCCCCACGUGUGGGAUGGCUUUUGAAGAUCCUUGAAUUUCUGUUAAGUGAGCAAAAUUAGUAUUUUUCACGGCAUAUUUCAACAUUGUAAAAGGAACUAUCAGAAAUGGAUCAACAGGCAAGUGGAGGAGAAGAUCCAAAUAAGCCUUCCAAAAAGAAAUCAAACGAGGAUGAGAGUAAAAACAAGAAGCUGAACAUACAUAUAAAAACAUUGGCUGACGACAUGCGUGACAGAAUUACAAGUUUCCGAAAGCAAGGCACGAAGAAGGAGAAGCCGGUUAUCCAACACCCAACUGACCCUAACGCCACCCAGGCAGAGCUGCCUGUGCCCCAGCCACUCUUUGAUGAGCGCUCCUUGAACCUCUCCGAAAAAGAGAUUGUUGACCUCUUUGAGAAGAUGAUGGAGGAUAUGAACCUAAAUGAGGACCGCAAGGCCCCCCUGCGUGGGAAGGACCUGAGCACCAAGCGAGAGAUGGUGGUCCAGUACAUCUCUGCCACAGCCAAAUCUGGUGGGCUAAGGAACAGCAAGCAUGAGUGUACGCUGUCGUCACAGGAAUACGUACAUGAGCUGCGCUCCGGAAUCGCUGAGGAGAAGCUCCUCAACUGCCUGGAGUCUCUGCGUGUCUCCCUGACCAGCAACCCCGUCAGCUGGGUGAAUAACUUCGGCCACGAGGGUCUCGGCCUGCUCCUGGACGCCUUGGAGAAGCUUCUCGACAAGAAACAACAAGAGAGCAUUGACAAGAAGAACCAACACAAACUCAUCCAGUGUCUCAAAGCCUUUAUGAACAAUAAGUAUGGCCUGCAAAAGAUACUUGGCGACGAGCGAAGCCUCCUUCUUCUGGCAAGGGCCAUCGAUCCCAAGCAGCCGAAUAUGAUGACGGAGAUUGUGAAGAUUCUGUCAGCUGUCUGUAUUAUUGGAGAGGAGAACAUCCUGGAUAAGAUCCUGGCAGCCAUGACCAUCGCAGCCGAGAGGAAUAACAAGGAGCGAUUUGCUCAGAUCGUAGAGGGGCUGGAGAACCACGACGCCCAGCAGCUUCAGGCGGCCUGCAUGCAGCUGAUCAACGCCCUGGUCACCUCCCCGGAUGACCUGGACUUCAGGAUACAUCUGCGGAAUGAGCUCCUGCGCUGCGGCUUGAAGAAGAUCCUGCCCGAGCUGAAAGAGACAGAAGAGUUGGACAUACAGUUGAAGGUGUUCAAUGAGAACAAGGAGGAGGACUCUAUUGAGCUGUCUCACCGGCUCGAUGACAUCCGUGUAUACCAUCUUCUGUCCAACAUGGUGAAAGACACAACCUCUGAGCCUUACUUCCUGUCAGUUCUCCAGCACCUGCUGCUCAUUAGGAAUGACUACUACAUCAGGCCUCAGUACUACAAGGUGAUCGAGGAGUGCGUGUCCCAGAUUGUGCUACACCGGAGUGGGAUGGACCCGGACUUUGGCUACCGGGAGAGGCUGGAUGUAGACUUCACUGUCCUUAUCGACCAAUGCGUGGAUAAGGCCAAGGUUGAGGAGAGUGAACAGAGAGCAACUGAAUUCUCCAAAAAGUUCGACGAGGAGUUCAGCGCACGACAGGAGGCGCAGGCCGAGCUGCAGAAACAGGAGGAGAAAAUCAAAGAGCUUGAGGUACAGAUCAGUACCCUGCGGAGCCAGGUAAGAUCACACCUACUGCUGAUCGACACACACACACACACACACACACACACACACACACACACACACACACACACACACCUACUGCUCACCCUCUCUGCCUCACCAGUCCUAGAGGACCACACAUCUGUCCUCGCCUAUAUCUCCAACACCUCCUGCACGGGACUAGGUAACCAGAUACCGGACCCGGCACCUUCAAUGCCGGGGAGCGUUUUCGGGCCUUUUGUGGAUUUUUCUCACCCUUCCUUCUCCUUCCAGGUGGCUGCUGGUCCUGGGUUGCCUGCUCCACCACCACCCCCUCCACCCCCACCUCCACCUGGGGCAGGGCCGCCUCCACCCCCUCCCUGUCCAGCGAUGAUGCCGCCGCCUCCGCCUCCGCCCGGCUGCGGUCCUCCUCCACCGCCCCCUCCGCCCGGCUGCGGUCCUCCUCCACCGCCCCCUCCGCCUGGCGGAGGUCCUCCGCUUCCUCCUCCCUUCCCUGGGGCGGUGGCUGUCCCCCCACCUCCACCUGUGAUCAAACUGCCUUAUGGCCUGGAGCCAAAAAAGACCUACAAACCUGACGCGGUCAUGAAGAGGGUCAACUGGUCGAAGAUAGUGCCUCAGGAGAUGGCAGAGAAUUGCUUUUGGAUCAAAGUCAAAGAGGAGAAGUUUGAGAACCCGGACCUGUUCGCCCAGCUCUCGCUCUUCUUCUCGUCCAAGUCCAGAGUGAAAAAGGACGUGGAGGAAACAGAUGACAGAAUGACACAAUUUAAGAAAAAAGCGAAAGAGCUGCGAAUCCUAGACGCCAAGACAGCCCAGAAUCUGUCAAUUUUCCUCGGAUCAUUCCGGCUGCGUUAUGAAGAGAUCCGGGACAUCGUGCUGGAGGUGGAUGAGGAACGGCUGAGCGAGGCACUGAUCCAGAAUCUGAUCAAGAACCUCCCUGAACAGAAGGAGCUGAGUGCUCUGGCUGAACUGAAGGGCGAGUAUGAGGAGCUGUGCGAGUCUGAGCGGUUUGGCAUUGUGAUGAGCUCAGUGAAGCUGCUACGCCCCCGUCUGAACGGCAUCCUCUUCAAGCUGACGUUCGAGGAGCAGGUGAACAACAUCCGGCCGGACAUCAUGAACGUCACCUUCGCGUGUGAGGAGGUGAAGAAGAGCGAGGGCUUCACCAAGCUGCUGGAGCUGAUCCUGCUGGUGGGGAACUACAUGAACGCCGGCUCCAGAAACGCCCAGACCUUCGGCUUCAACAUCAGCUUCCUCUGCAAGCUUCGGGAUACGAAGUCGAUGGACCAGAAUACAACACUUCUGCACUUCCUGGCUGAGAAGUGUGAGGAGAAGUAUCCCGAGAUCCUGAAGUUCCCUGAUGAGCUGCAGCAUGUAGAGAACGCCAGCAAAAUGUCUGCCCAGAUCCUCAAAGCCAGUUUGGACACGAUGGAGCGUCACAUCCAGAGGCUGGAGAAUGACAUCCAGAACUUCCCCAAGACUGAGGACAAACAGGAUAAGUUUGUGGAAAAAAUGUCCAUAUCCUUCACAUGCUACUCCCGCGAGCAGUACGAGAAGCUCUCUACCAUGCACAAGAACAUGCAGAAGCUCUACGAGAGUCUGGGGAGCUACUUCGCCUUCGACCCCCACACCAUCAGCAUCGAGGACUUUUUCGGGGACCUGGCCAACUUCCGCACCCUCUUCAUGGACGCCAUGAAGGAAAAUCACAAAAAGAGGGAGAUGGAGGAGAAAGUGAAAAGGGCCAAGAUGGCAAAGGAGAAAGCCGAGCGUGAAAAGCAGGAGCGUCAGCAGAAGAAGAAGCAGCUGAUCGACAUGAACAAAGAAGGAGAUGAGACAGGUGUGAUGGACAGCCUGAUGGAGGCGCUGCAGUCUGGCGCGGCCUUCCGUGACCGCAGGAAACGAACCCCACGCACUGGUGAGAUUCCCCAAAUGAACCCCACACACAGGGGAAGCAAAACAGGACACCUGGUGGAGGUGCCAUGCUGA
ensembl:lncRNA